CCUACGGGAGGCAGCAGUGAGGAAUAUUGGUCAAUGGACGAGAGUCUGAACCAGCCAAGUAGCGUGAAGGAUGACUGCCCUAUGGGUUGUAAACUUCUUUUAUAUGGGAAUAAAAUGUUCCACGUGUGGGAUUUUGUAUGUACCAUAUGAAUAAGGAUCGGCUAACUCCGUGCCAGCAGCCGCGGUAAUACGGAGGAUCCGAGCGUUAUCCGGUUUUAUUGGGUUUAAAGGGAGCGUAGGUGGAUGGUUAAGUCAGUUGUGAAAGUUUGCGGCUCAACCGUAAAAUUGCAGUUGAAACUGGCAGUCUUGAGUACAGUAGAGGUGGGCGGAAUUCGUGGUGUAGCGGUGAAAUGCUUAGAUAUCACGAAGAACUCCGAUUGCGAAGGCAGUUCACUGGACUGCAACUGACACUGAGGCUCGAAAGUGUGGGUAUCAAACAGGAUUAGAUACCCUAGUAGUC
rnacentral:rRNA from 1 species